CGAUGGAAGUGACUCUGUUGCAAUAUGUAUCAAGUCAUCCAAAGGUAUGAGAGCUUCAGGCCCAAGAGACUUGUCAUUUGGUACAGCUAUGGGUUGGCAAUUUUUGGAUAUGGUUUGCUUCCUUCGGAGCCAACUUUUAGUUUGGGUAUCUUUUGGGUUGGGCUUUGGUGGUAAGAUGGGUUUAGUUGUUUGGUUAUAGCCCGAUUCAGAAGGUGGUUUGGUCUUAAAGGAGAAAAACUCUUGAUGGUCUUGGGGAUGUUGUGAGGCUAGCCCGUUGGGGUUUGGUACCACUUGGGGAAAAAGGCACUUCUCUUUACCAGUGAAAGGAAAGGAGUUGUUGUCAGUGGUAAUGGAGGGUGGGUUCUGUUCACUCUCUGGGAAUUGGGUUUUCCUUGAGCCUUGAGCUGUCAAGACAUUAAAAGCUGUAGUUUGGAAGUGAUCCACCAAAUAGAGAUAUUUCUCGAAGAAGGCAGUAGUGUUGACAUGAUGAAUUCCCAAAGUAGCUAGGUAUUCCUGGAAGAACGCUAGCAUUUCAUCUCAAGGAAAGGCUCUGGCCGAAAGAUGAUAGGAGGAGCAAGUUUCGGCACAUCCUCCCAAGAUUUACAAAAAAUGGUACAGUUUGAAGCUUCCUUGCUUUUGCUAGAUCCCUCCAUCGUUGAUUUGCUUGAAAAGGUUUGUGGUUCAAGGGGUUGGCUUUAAGCCAAGGACCAUAUCCUGAUUUUGAGUUGAGGUAUUUCCGGCAAGAAGUUGGGGUUUAGGAUUUGGACAAUUCUUUAUCAAAUGCCCUAUGAUGCCACAACCAUAGCAAAUGUCAAGAAGUUUUUCAAUUUUGAAAUGGACCCAAUGCUUACUACCAUCUUUUUUUUUAUUUUGAAACCCCAUAGGAAAGGGUUUGUGUAGAGGUAUUGAAACUCGAAUUUGUAGCAUGUCCAAAUAUCCCAAGUUGCCUUCAUGAGUGAAAUCUGCUUCUUGAUACUUACCAAUGAGCUCACCAAUGAUCCUAGCAUUCUGCAUGUUAAUAUGGUUUGGUAGAAGGCCAUAUAUCUGGAUCCAAAAAGAAGGGUGUGUGAAAGUGAGUUCUUCCAGAGACUAAUCUGGUGGCCAUUCCCUUAUGGACAGAAGUUGAUUCUGUACUGACCAAGACCUAUUAUCAAGCAAAUACCUUGCAUCCACCUCAUGUGCAAAAGAGAAUAAAAAGAUAUUGUUUCUUUUUGCAGUUACUCGGAACCCCCUUCUGGUAUGCCAAGACUUGGACAAGGCUGCCUUAAUAGUGUUGAUACUAAUGCUUUUUUUCUAUAAUAAGUUUCCCCACCAAGAAGUAUUUUUGUUCUUGA